rnacentral:rRNA from 1 species
CCUACGGGUGGCAGCAGUCGAGAAUCAUUCACAAUGGGGGAAACCCUGAUGGUGCGACGCCGCGUGGAGGAAUGAAGGUCUUCGGAUUGUAAACCCCUGUCAUGUGGGAGCAAAUUAAAAAGAUAGUACCACAAGAGGAAGAGACGGCUAACUCUGUGCCAGUAGCCUCGGUAAUACAGAGGUCUCAAGCGUUGUUCGGAAUCACUGGGCGUAAAGGGUGCGUAGGCUGUUUCGUAAGUCGUGUGUGAAAGGCGCGGGCUCAACCCGCGGACGGCACAUGAUACUGCGAGACUAGAGUAAUGGAGGGGGAACCGGAAUUCUCGGUGUAGCAGUGAAAUGCGUAGAUAUCGAGAGGAACACUCGUGGCGAAGGCGGGUUCCUGGACAUUAACUGACGCUGAGGCACGAAGGCCAGGGGAGCGAAAGGGAUUAGAUACCCCGGUAGUC